rnacentral:lncRNA from 1 species
UAGAAUAGGAAUGGUAAGGGAAACAUUUCUGCCAUGCUUUAAUAAAAUAUCAUACCUUGCUGGACGCAAUGGUUCAUGCCUGUUAUUCCAGCAACUUGAAUGGCUAAGACAGGAGGAUUGCAGGUUCAAAGCCAGGCUCAGCAAUGGUGAGGCCCUAAGCAACACAGUGAGACCUUGUCUCUAAAUAAAAUAUAAAAAGGGCUAGGAAUGUGGCUCAGUGGUUGAGUGCCCCUGACUUCAAUCCCCAGUACCAAAAAAAUAUAUCAUACCUAUGAAGUCCACUUAUUCAUUAGAAUCAGGGAAAGAUCUUGAUCUCCUUGUAGAGGUCCUAUUUCCUUAUUUUAUGGAUUAUAUUCCUUCUGAUCUUUAACAUUUAUUACAGGCAAAGAAAAGUAAAACCAAAAUGCCAUCUUUAGUAAAGAAGUGGCAGAGUAUCCAGCGUGAAUUAGAUGAAGAAGAGAACUCAAGUUCCAGUGAAGAGGAUCGGGAAUCAACUGCACAGAAGCGAAUUGAAGAGUGGAAACAGCAGCAGCUGGUUAGUGGCAUGGCAGAGAGAAAUGCUAAUUUUGAAGCCCUUCCUGAGGAUUGGAGAGCAAGACUAAAGAGAAGGAAAAUGGCUCCAAACACAUAGUUGAAAAAAAAAAAUUUUAAUUGUUUUGUGUUCAGUUCAGAGUCUUAGCCAGUUUUACUAUUGUCAAAUAAACUAUAAAUGUAAUGGGGGUGAGCAUAUGCAUUUCCUGGGCAAGAGCAUACAUGUACAAAGUUGUCCAUUUGUGAAAUGUAAUUUUUCUGUUUUGCUGAAGGGUGAGGCAGUUGGAAUUGCUUUGACCUGACUACCUUUAUUCUCACACUGGCAAAUUUAGCAUGUUAGGUAUCAGUCGAUCAAUCUUGAAGAACAUGUGGCUCAUGAGUAUGGCUCCUGUAGAGGGCUUGCUGACAAAGUGAAGGAUUUUCCUGCCUAAUAGAGGCUUCUUUCAUUCCUAAUGUGGCACAUUCUCUGAUUUCUACUCAAGAACAAGUGCAAUUAAGAAGGAAGCUCUGUGUUCUACCUUGCUUGACUGCAAUCAUUAGGAGCUCUUUCUGAACUCUUCCUCCAGGCUGCCACCCCUGAAGUGUUGAGAUCUGUAGAGUGAUAUACCUUGUGCUAGUGGCCACACUCUUUAUAUAAAGAGUAGUCCUUUCUCACAAAUCCUAGAAUUGAUAGUCAUCUUACACUCUAGGUGGCAUAUUUAAAUUUUAAUGCAGGCAGCAAUAGCAGCCGGUGUUUAUAUCCUUGAUUUUCAGAAAUUUCCCCCAAAGUAUGUGGCAGUAAGUUUCACAAAGCCACUUUGUGUUAAUGCGUCUCCAUGAUCUUACCGUGUUCCAAAAUCCACUUCCCUUCUAUGUGUGAAUGUAUUCUCCAUAAAAUUCCAGUAUUUAAAAAGCAGUUUACUGUUCUGUAUUUUCUAUUGUGUCACAAUCAGGUAAAGUCACUUUAAACUGAAGAAAAGGCAAAUUGUGUUUUAAAGCUGUUUGUAUUUCUCCAGUUUCUGACCUUGUAAAUUUGUAAAUAUGCACUAAUAAAGCUCUUUUUAUACUUGUGAUUGGUUAUCUUUUGCUCUUCUAAGACUGUCAUUCCAUAAUUAUGUAACCAGAAUUUAAUUUUACAUCAGUUCCUAAGUGUUUUUUCCUAAUCAGAGUCAGAUAUGGUGCAAGGCAUGUAAAAAUGUUGAAUGACUUUCAGGAAAAAGAGUAGCAGGAUCUUGAGGAUGGUGGACAGGGUUAGAAAAAGGCCUCUAACACCAAAUAGUGCUGUGAGGUCUCAGUCCUGGAAACAAUGUAAUGUGGAUGAAGUUUUGACCAAAAAUGAAAAAGGUGCUUUAUUGCUUUUUUACAUUAAGUAAUACAUAACUGAUUACAAAAGUAUAUAAUAUAUACUUAUGGUUAUAUUCCUAUAAAGUUAACCAAAGAAUAGUAGUUUGAAGUUUAUUCCAGUAUAUUACUAUGCAUAUAAUUAAAAUUUUUACCCAGUCAUGUGUGAUAGAGUGUUGGAUUAAUUUACCAUUAUGCUAAUGUUGGGGUGCAUUUUUGUAUAUAAAUUUGUUUUAUUUGCAUAGAGUAAAUUUCUGCAAAUAAAGGCUAUCAACUAGCUGUUAAAACUUUUGUCUUAACUGCCUAACAGUUUUUCAAACUUCAAGGAAUUGCAGAGCACCAGUGCCUUCCUCACAUCCUACAAAUUGCAGCAUUUAAAA